GGCACGGCACAGCACCGCCGCCAUGAAUCCCGCCACCACGCGCGACCGAUCUUCCUUUCCAGCUACCCCCGAGAUGCGCCUUCGUUGCCCUGUUCUUCUUCGCCUCCUCACCCGCCCCAACUCCUCACCCCCAGCCUUCUCCACCUCGAGGCGGACGUCUCCGAUUUGGAUAGGAGUUGAUGGCGUGUUCACGCAGGAAAACUGCUCCAGCAUGUAGCCAUGGGGCCGACCCAAAUUUCAGAUCAAUCUCUCUGCCAUAAGAAGAAACCCUAGAGUGGAAGCACAAGUAAAUCGCAUUGCAAGUUCGUAAGACGAGAUUGCGGGAACUGUCCAAUGUCGCCUCCACCUACUUCGCCAGAAGACCAUCUGCAAUCCGACGUUACUCUACACAUCGCCGGAACUCCGACUGCCGGUUCUCCAUGAGUAGGCUCAGCUCUGUACAUUGGCAUGAAAAGGUGCUUGCUCUUUAGACGAAUUAACUGUUGGAUACUCCAUGAAAGAGAUUGAAGGAGGUCGUCCUUGUGAACACUGGAAACAUGUUUGCGAUUGAGGCACACAACAAUAUGGCUCACACUCACCACAAUUACUGGAAAGACCAUCUCCAUAAAGGAGUUGCUUUACCUGAAAGCAGACUUCUGAAGAUAUUUUUUUUUCUUACUUGUUUUAUAUUUUUUUGGACAACUGGUUGUUUAUAUUGGUGGAGAUCCAGUGCUUUAUAGAGCCCGCGUAUAAAGGUAAUAUGUAUCGCUAUUUUUCUUACUUAGUAGCAUUAGAAUCUCCCCAUCUCUUUAUACGGAGGUGAUGGCGAAGGAGGAAGAGUUGUGUCAGGCCCAGCUCGAGGUAGAUGAAGAAGAGGAGGCCAGAAAGAGAGAAUCAGCAAGGCAGAAGCCUUUUGAUCUCAAGGCAUGGUUCUGCAGGUUGGACGAGCUACUAACAAAGGCAAACCUCUAUUCUAAAUUUCUACUUGAAAAAGAUGGACCAUCAGCUAGGGAAUAUGUUCGUUGUUCACAUUGGUGGUGGUGUCUUUUGGUUCAACAUGAAGUUGUUUAAGUGAAAAAUGCAGUGGAACAUGUGGAACAAAGGACGUGGUAUGGAAAGCAAAGCAAAGCCUAAACAGUACAAUGAUGCAUGUUCAGAUUCCGUAUGUUGU